rnacentral:rRNA from 1 species
GUCGAGCGAAUGGAUUAAGAGCUUGCUCUUAUGAAGUUAGCGGCGGACGGGUGAGUAACACGUGGGUAACCUGCCCAUAAGACUGGGAUUACUCCGGGAAACCGGGGCUAAUACCGGAUAACAUUUUGAACCGCAUGGUUCGAAAUUGAAAGGCGGCUUCGGCUGUCACUUAUGGAUGGACCCGCGUCGCAUUAGCUAGUUGGUGAGGUAACGGCUCACCAAGGCAACGAUGCGUAGCCGACCUGAGAGGGUGAUCGGCCACACUGGGACUGAGACACGGCCCAGACUCCUACGGGAGGCAGCAGUAGGGAAUCUUCCGCAAUGGACGAAAGUCUGACGGAGCAACGCCGCGUGAGUGAUGAAGGCUUUCGGGUCGUAAAACUCUGUUGUUAGGGAAGAACAAGUGCUAGUUGAAUAAGCUGGCACCUUGACGGUACCUAACCAGAAAGCCACGGCUAACUACGUGCCAGCAGCCGCGGUAAUACGUAGGUGGCAAGCGUUAUCCGGAAUUAUUGGGCGUAAAGCGCGCGCAGGUGGUUUCUUAAGUCUGAUGUGAAAGCCCACGGCUCAACCGUGGAGGGUCAUUGGAAACUGGGAGACUUGAGUGCA